UACGUAGGGGGCAAGCGUUUGUCCGGAAUCAUUGGGCGUAAAGCGCGUGUAGGCGGCUCGAUAAGUCUGCUGUGAAAGUUCAGGGCUCAACCCUGAAAUGCCGGUGGAAACUGUCGAGCUAGAGUCCGGAAGAGGCGAGUGGAAUUCCUGGUGUAGCGGUGAAAUGCGCAGAUAUCAGGAAGAACACCCGUGCUAAGGCGGCUCUCUAGUACGGUACUGACGCUGAGACGCGAAAGCGUGGGGAGCGAACAGG
rnacentral:rRNA from 1 species